UACGGAGGGAGCUAGCGUUGUUCGGAAUUACUGGGCGUAAAGCGCGCGUAGGCGGCUUUGUAAGUUAGAGGUGAAAGCCCGGGGCUCAACUCCGGAAUUGCCUUUAAGACUGCAUCGCUAGAAUCCGGGAGAGGUGAGUGGAAUUCCGAGUGUAGAGGUGAAAUUCGUAGAUAUUCGGAAGAACACCAGUGGCGAAGGCGGCUCACUGGACCGGUAUUGGCGCUGAGGCGCGAAAGCGUGGGGAGCAAACAGG
rnacentral:rRNA from 1 species